rnacentral:rRNA from 1 species
CAGCAGCCGCGGUAAUACAGAGGCCUCAAGCGUUGUUCGGAUUCAUUGGGCGUAAAGGGAGCGUAGGCGGUCGGGUAAGUCGGAUGUGAAAUCCUGGGGCUCAACCUCAGAACUGCAUUCGAUACUGCUUGGCUAGAGGACUGGAGAGGUGAGUGGAAUUCACGGUGUAGCAGUGAAAUGCGUAGAUAUCGUGAGGAAGACCAGCGGCGAAGGCGGCUCACUGGACAGUUUCUGACGCUGAUGCUCGAAGGCCAGGGGAGCAAACGGGAUUAGAUACCCCAGUAGUCCCUGUCUCUUAUAC